ACAUUAGUAAGGAAAAGUAUAGCAUGACAGUCCGUCAUUCCUUGAGUGAAUGACCAUGCAUUUUAAAACCAGCAUAUUGGCAACCCCAUCAACCGGUUUCGUCUCAUUCUCCUAAAAUUACUGAAUUCGUCGUCUUCCUCGACCCAGAUUAUGGAAAAGCUUUUGUACUGAAAAAGGAGAAGCCAGGUAAGCGGGAAGCCUAUUUAAGCUUCUGCCAGAGCUUGCUCUGCAGAUUAUGGUGCUUGUUAAACGAAUCAUUACCUCACUCAAGUUGAUAAAUUCAGAAGCAAAGAAUGGUUGGAUAUUUUUUCAAUCAUUUGAGAAACCUGUAUUCUUGAUCGGAUGACAAAGUUGCUGUUGAGUGGUGUUUUUAAAUCUUGGGUUUAUUGUGGUUUUAUAUUCAAGUUUGACUUCUCGUCUAUUAUUAAUUGGCCUUAUAUUCAAGAUAAUUCUCUCUAAUCUUUGUCGAUUAGCUUUAAGUUGAAUAUUAAACUCUAUAGUUAAAGAGAUGGAUAACAGGUAUUUUCUUCAUCUCCCUCCAAUAAUCACUGAUUCGUGAGAAAGCUGGUGUAAGUUACCGAUGACAGGAAGGCCAGGAGGAGCAGGGGAAGAAGGUUUUAGCUAUGGUUUCUUGGUUUCAGAAAGAAGAGGAAAAGAGGAUAGGCUAGAAUCAAAAUGCAAAGGGAAUAGCAUUGCAGUCUACACCAUGAAGCUAUCUCUGAAAAUCUUGGGAGAACUCUAAAGUAACAGUUCAGCUUGGUAACGGUACUGGUUUUUUUUUUUUCCUGAUCGUGGCAAAUAAUUGCCAAUUAUUUUGUCGUUGAUAUAUAAUAGAAAAAAUUAUGAAUUAUUGAUGAUACUGCCCCGUUUGUUCUAUUUUUUAUUGGAUUUGAUGUACUAAAGUCAUGUAUGAAUAACAGAAUUAACAGCAUUCUCACAAAUUGAAAAGACAUGUUAUCUCAAGUUACCUAAUUAGUAAUAUAAAAAAUCAGAGCUCAAUAAUUUUCAUCACGCUUGCCAAUAAGUGGGCUUAUGCUUAAUUCUCACCUCUCAGGAAAAUAUUAAACUUAUAAUUAUCAUAUAUACUUCAUAAAGCAGGAACUAUUAUGCUGUCUUAUUUCUAUUUGACUGUGACUGCCUAUUGAUUCUUCGGGAUUCCAUUAUCUGAUUCUUAUUGUUGUUGUUUGUCUGUGAUGAGCAAGCUUGCUGCUGUAUUGCUGUUUUACCGUCUAUGACCAAGACUGCCAUUAGGUCUCUGCGGGUUUGCCAGUAUGUUAUCUGUAUGCUAUUGUGGGUGCAAGAGUUGGUUU
rnacentral:lncRNA from 1 species